AGGUAAGGUUCCCAUCACACUUCAGUUCAGACCUAAAGGACCUUCUAAGAAAUUUACUCCAGGUAGAUUUGACCAAACGAUAUGGAAAUCUCAAGAAUGGUGUAAAUGACAUAAAGAAUCACAAGUGGUUUGCAACUACAGAUUGGAUUGCCAUUUAUCAGAGAAAGGUAGAAGCUCCAUUCAUACCAAAGUGCAGAGGUCCUGGAGAUACCAGCAACUUCGAUGACUAUGAAGAAGAAGAUAUUCGUGCGUCUCUAACAGAAAAAUGUGCAAAAGAAUUUGCUGAUUUUUAGUAGGAGUAAGAGGACAAGAUGACAUCAGGGCUCACAUUGGGAUCUUUGCACUCUGUUAACAGAUGAGGUGGAGCUGAGACCAUCAUAUGUCAAAACAGUUACCUAGUUACUUCAUUCCACAAAGCUGACUGAGGUCUUUAUUGCCAUCUUCCAUGUGUGCAUUUUGCACCAACCCUUCUAACUAGGCACAAUUAAGCAAGCACUGUUUGUGCAGUAACACAGAAUAAUAGACCACUUUCCUACUUAACUUUGGUUUCUGUCGUUCUUUGUUUCUGUGUAUUGUUCAUUUUCCCCCUUUGAAAUGAAGUAGUUUUUUACCCAAGAAUGCUCCAUUUUAUUUUGAAUAAUGUAUUAUUUGUGUGAGUGAAAUGGAAGGUGUUGCGGCUAGUGUGAUUUAGACUGAAGUGAAAGAUAAAUGUUGCUUCUAGUCUGUGCCAGCCAAUAAUUCAUGUCUGUCUUGUGUCUGAUGCUACAAUUUAUAAUAAUUUUUUAGUAGCUCAGACUAAACCUAGCCAACAUUUUUAGCAUUUUUGAAGGUAGUAUUUAUCGCCAUAUAAAUGUCUGCUAAAUUAACUUAAAAACAUUUCUUCCUGGAGGCUGACCAAAAUUGAGUAGAAUCAAUUGGAUGGCUUAAGUAGGGGACAGUAGCUAGACCCCGUGCCUUGGUUUUCUACAUCCCUGCGGUUUUUGUCGCUGCCUCCUUCCUUCAUACUUCCCACCUAGGCAGUAGGUAAAUUGCCAUAACCAGACUGUACCAUGGAAAGCUUACAGUCUCAUGAGAGGGAGUAAUUCCACCUGGUCUGGAUUUUGGACAAUGUUCAAUCAAGUCAACUUACCAGCAUUUCAGUUGGCAGGUAUGAAAUAGCUUUUUUUAAGAUCUAGAACCCUAAACUCUUAAAGGAAGUUUUGGUCAGUAUUGUAGAGAAUAUGAUUCAUUUUGAUUCACUUUUUUUUUUCUUCUUUUUUUUUUUUAUUUAAAGUAGCCAAUGUUUGGGCUCCCAAAGUAUUCUUUGUUUGAAGCCUUUUUUGCUUCAGAAAGGCAUCCAUUAAAGUAAGAACCACCCUGCCACAAAAAGCAAAAUGCGCUCUGCCAUUAGCUAUGAAAAACAAAUGGUUUAGCAAAUGCAAAAUCUUGUUCUAGCUGCAUUGCUGGAUGAACACGGUUAUUUUCUGUUAGUUGUUAAGAAUAAGAGGUUAUUGCCAAGUUUUUAUUCUGGUAUACUAUAUUAGUAAACCGAGGAUGGAGUACUGCUACAAUCAUUUUCUUUUUAAUUACAGCACUUCAUUCAAGAAGAAAAGAGUUAAAGUUUAAAAACUGCAACAGCUGAGUUUAUUUUAGUUGCAUUGUGUCUUCAUUUCUAACCUACUUUCUUUCAAUCAAUCAGAAUGUAUGGUCACACAGAUACAAGUAUUUGGGUUUAAUUAUGUUUUGUAUACUCUCACCAACUGACUUAAAAGAUAUUGCUACCAUGUGCUAGCUUGGGGCACUUUUACACAUUUAUUUCAAUGUUAAUAAUCAGCGGCUCAGCACUUUUUUGGGGGUUGCUUUUAAACUUAUUCAUAGUAGUUUUAUUUGUACACUUGGUUCUGGCUGUCUCAGUGACCUGUCUUAAAACAGCACAUCUAAACAGUUUAAACUAGACUCAUAUUUUAUGAUAAAUUUACAUGCAUACAAGGAUGAAUUGUUUUUUAAAAACCUGAGCUAUAUUGGUACAUAGCCAUUGUAUUUGUUUGAAUGCCAGUGCAGAGAAACAUCUGGCAUUCCUUCCUUUUAAUCUGUACAACACUCCUGAAGGAAAAGCCUUUGUAGACAUUUUACAGAAGAGUAUGAAACGUACCACCCAAUGUUCUGUAUGUUUAGGUUGUUGAGCAUUUUUGCACAACGUCAUUAGGAGGCUGACACUGAAUGCAGUCUUUGUCCACCCAUAUUUACAUACGUGCAAGAAAAGUAUAAGAUACUUUGCUGUAGCAAAUUUUAUGUAACAAAGAUAUAUCGUCACAUGAAUAAAUUUAAAGAAAUCCUUUGUAUGAAAAUGUUAAAAUCUUUUGUAUUUCAUUUAGACCAAGGACAUGCUGCUGUAUGCUAGCUGUAUGCGAUAAAUUCUACAGUAACUUUAUUGUCGUUUAUGAACUUUAAAAGAUUUUAAUAAAUGUUGGAGAUCACAAUUUGAUUCUGUUAUGAUUUUAAUUUUUAAUCAUUACAUUUAUAAUUCUAGAAAGGUUCAGAGAUCUCUGUUUUGUAAAAUACUGUAAUCAUUCAUCUUGCGUGUACAAUAAGGUAAAAGUCUAGGAAAUUGGUUCUGACGUGUCUGUCUGAUAUCCAGAUUAAAUUCUAUAUGGGCAUAAGUGGAAAAGUCAUCAUAAUGCCAUGAUAUUAUGCUAUUUUUUAAUUUUCUGAAAAUCCUGUUACAAAGUAAAACACUUUUCCAAUAUGGCAUAAUAGACUUCAGUAUGGAAAUGAGAUUCUAUUUUGGAAAAUGAGGGGAAGUGUGCAAUUUCCAAGGCAUUAGUGAGUACAUUUGACAAUGUGAGUAUUAUACAACCCUCUCAUUUAAACACAGUCAUGAAAUAUAACUACAGAAUAUUAUGUUACCUGUAUUUAAUUUGAGAACUCCUUUUCACAAUAUGGAAAAAUUGUAUAUCUAUGACAGUAGAAGCUUGUUAAUUUUACACAUUUGAGGAAUUAAGUGUUGAACUAUAUGGUAUAUUUUAAUUGUACUCUAGUUGUAUGUAACUUUCAUUUCCAACAUAAAGGAUUGUAUCUCAUUAAGUAAAUUGCUUUUUUUAUUAUCUUGUCAGUUGCAUUAAAACCCUUAUUUUUAAAUCC